UUUCCGUAGGUGAACCUGCGGAAGGAUCGUUAAAGAAUUUGCCCCGUCCUCUCGAGGAUGGGUCCUCUUCUAAACCGUGUAUACAUACCUUUGUUGCUUUGGCGGGCCGCCGUCUCGGCGUUGGCUUCGGCUGACUGUGCCCGCCAGAGAACCCCAACUCUUCUGUUUAGUAUUGUCUGAGUACUAUAUAAUAGUUAAAACUUUCAACAACGGAUCUCUUGGUUCUG
rnacentral:misc_RNA from 1 species